CCAAACUGUUGCCUCGGCGGGGUCACGCCCCGGGUGCGUCGCAGCCCCGGAACCAGGCGCCCGCCGGAGGGACCAACCAAACUCUUUUCUGUAGUCCCCUCGCGGACGUUAUUUCUUACAGCUCUGAGCAAAAAUUCAAAAUGAAUCAAAACUUUCAACAACGGAUCUCUUGGUUCUGGCAUCGAUGAAGAACGCAGCGAAAUGCGAUAAGUAAUGUGAAUUGCAGAAUUCAGUGAAUCAUCGAAUCUUUGAACGCACAUUGCGCCCGCCAGUAUUCUGGCGGGCAUGCCUGUCCGAGCGUCAUUUCAACCCUCGAACCCCUCCGGGGGGUCGGCGUUGGGGACCUCGGGAGCCCCUAAGACGGGAUCCCGGCCCCGAAAUACAGUGGCGGUCUCGCCGCAGCCUCUCCUGCGCAGUAGUUUGCACAACUCGCACCGGGAGCGCGGCGCGUCCACGUCCGUAAAACACCCAACUUCUGAAAUGUUGACCUCGGAUCAGGUAGGAAUACCCGCUGAACUUAAGCAUAUCAAUAAGCCGGAGGAAAUCCC
rnacentral:rRNA from 1 species